UAAGCGGAGGAAANGAAACUANCANAGGAUUCCCCUAGUAACUGCGAGUGAAGCGGGAAAAGCUCAAAUUUAAAAUCUGGCGGUCUCUGGCCGUCCGAGUUGUAAUUUAGAGAAGCGUCUCCCGCGCCGGACCGUGCACAAGUCUCCUGGAAUGGAGCGUCAUAGAGGGUGAGAAUCCCGUCUUUGGCACGGAUGCCUGUGCUUCUGCGAUGCGCUCUCGAAGAGUCGAGUUGUUUGGGAAUGCAGCUCAAAAUGGGUGGUGAACUCCAUCUAAAGCUAAAUAUUGGCGAGAGACCGAUAGCGAACAAGUACCGUGAGGGAAAGAUGAAAAGCACUUUGGAAAGAGAGUGAAACAGUACGUGAAAUUGUUGAAAGGGAAACGCUUGAAGUCAGUCGCGUCGACCGAGACUCAGCCUUGCCUUGGCUUGGUGUACUUCUCGGCCCGACGGGUCAGCAUCAAUUUUGCCCCUCGGAUAAUGGCAAGGGAAAGGUGGCACCUUUUCGGGUGUGUUAUAGUCUCCUGUCGCAUGCGAGGGGUGGGAUUGAGGAACUCAGCGCGCACCUUGGUGUCGGGGCUUCGGCCCACGUCACGCGCUUAGGAUGCUGGCGUAAUGGCUUUAAACGACC
rnacentral:rRNA from 1 species